UACGGGGGGGGCAAGCGUUGUUCGGAAUUACUGGGCGUAAAGGGCGCGUAGGCGGUUUGACAAGUCUGAUGUGAAAUCUAUGGGCUCAACCCAUAGCCUGCAUUAGAAACUGUCGGGCUUGAGUAUGGGAGAGGUGAGUGGAACUGCGAGUGUAGAGGUGAAAUUCGUAGAUAUUCGCAAAGAACACCAGUGGCGAAGGCGGCUCACUGGCCCGAUACUGACGCUGAGGCACGAAGCGUGGG
rnacentral:rRNA from 1 species